rnacentral:rRNA from 1 species
UACGUAGGGGGCAAGCGUUGUCCGGAUUUAUUGGGCGUAAAGAGCGUGUAGGCGGCCAAGCAGGUCCGCUGUGAAAACUCGAGGCUCAACCUCGAGACGUCGGUGGAAACCGUUUGGCUAGAGUCCGGAAGAGGAGAGUGGAAUUCCUGGUGUAGCGGUGAAAUGCGCAGAUAUCAGGAGGAACACCGGUGGCGAAGGCGGAUCUCUGGGCCUUACCUGACGCUCAGGUGCGAAAGCUAGGGGAGCGAACAGG